rnacentral:misc_RNA from 1 species
GAUGAAGAACGUAGCGAAAUGCGAUAAGUAAUGUGAAUUGCAGAAUUCAGUGAGUCAUCGAAUCUUUGAACGCACAUUGCGCCCUUUGGUAUUCCGAAGGGCAUGCCUGUUCGAGCGUCAUUAUCACCCCUCAAGCCCUCGGCUUGGUGUUGGACGGUUUGGUGGAGGCCCCCUCGGGGGUUCCUGCCCCUCCCAAAGACAAUGACGGCGGCCUCGUUGGACCCCCGGUACACUGAGUUCUUCACGGGACACGUAUCGGACACAUGGGUUUACGGGACACGGUCUGCCUCCCCUCAGGGAGAAUCUUUCUAAGGUUGACCUCGGAUCAGGUAGGGAUACCCGCUGAACUUAAGCAUAUCAAUAAGCGGAGGA